rnacentral:rRNA from 1 species
UACGUAGGGGGCUAGCGUUGUCCGGAAUCAUUGGGCGUAAAGCGCGUGUAGGCGGUCCGGUAAGUCCGCUGUGAAAGUCGGGGCUCAACCCUCGGAUGCCGGUGGAUACUGUCGGGCUUGAGUACGGAAGAGGCGAGUGGAAUUCCUGGUGUAGCGGUGAAAUGCGCAGAUAUCAAGGAGGAACACCAAUUGCGAAGGCAGCUCGCUGGGACGUUACUGACGCUGAGACGCGAAGCGUGGGAGC